rnacentral:rRNA from 1 species
GUUUGACCUCGGAUCAGGUAGGGAUACCCGCUGAACUUAAGCAUAUCAAUAAGCGGAGGAAAAGAAACCAACAGGGAUUGCCCUAGUAACGGCGAGUGAAGCGGCAAGAGCUCAAAUUUGAAAUCUGGCCCCCUGCGGGGUCCGAGUUGUAAUUUGCAGAGGGUGCUUUGGCGCCGGCUGUGGUCUAAGUUCCUUGGAACAGGACGUCGCAGAGGGUGAGAAUCCCGUAUGUGGCCGCCAGCCUGCGCCGUGUAAAGCCCCUUCGACGAGUCGAGUUGUUUGGGAAUGCAGCUCUAAAUGGGAGGUAAAUUUCUUCUAAAGCUAAAUACUGGCCAGAGACCGAUAGCGCACAAGUAGAGUGAUCGAAAGAUGAAAAGCACUUUGGAAAGAGAGUCAAAAAGCACGUGAAAUUGUUGAAAGGGAAGCGCUUGCAGCCAGACUUGCCUGUAGUUGCUCACCCGGGCUCCCGCCCGGUGCACUCUUCUGCGGGCAGGCCAGCAUCAGUCCGGGCGGUCGGAUAAAUGCCUGCUAAAUGUACCUCUCCUCGGGGAGGACUUAUAGGGCAGGCGGCAUACGACCAGCCUGGACUGAGGUCCGCGCAUCUGCUANGAUGCUGGCGUAAUGGCUGUAANCGACCCGU